AGAGUUUGAUCAUGGCUCAGAUUGAACGCUGGCGGAAUGCUUUACACAUGCAAGUCGAACGGUAGAGGGGGCAACCCCUUGAGAGUGGCGAACGGGUGAGUAAUGUAUCGGAACGUGCCCAGUCGUGGGGGAUAACGUAGUGAAAAUUACGCUAAUACCGCAUACGAUCUAUGGAUGAAAGCGGGGGAUCGCAAGACCUCGCGCGAUUGGAGCGGCCGAUAUCAGAUUAGGUAGUUGGUAGGGUAAAGGCCUACCAAGCCAACGAUCUGUAGCUGGUCUGAGAGGACGACCAGCCACACUGGAACUGAGACACGGUCCAGACUCCUACGGGAGGCAGCAGUGGGGAAUUUUGGACAAUGGGCGAAAGCCUGAUCCAGCCAUUCCGCGUGCAGGAUGAAGGCCCUCGGGUUGUAAACUGCUUUUGUACAGAACGAAAAGGUUUCUAUUAAUACUAGGAGCUCAUGACGGUACUGUAAGAAUAAGCACCGGCUAACUACGUGCCAGCAGCCGCGGUAAU
rnacentral:rRNA from 1 species